GACGAACCGUGCAAACGUUAUUCGGAAUCACUGGGCAUAAAGGGCGCGUAGGCGGCUCCAAAAGUCAGGGGUGAAUCCGGCAGCUUAACUGUCGCAGUGCCUUUGAUACUGUGGAGCUAGAGGGAGGUAGGGGUCUGUGGAACUUCCGGUGGAGCGGUUGGAAAUGCGUUGAUAUCGGAAGGAACGCCGGUGGCGAAAGCGACGGACUGGAUCUCUUCUGACGCUGAGGCGCGAAAGCCGGGGAGCAAACGGG
rnacentral:rRNA from 1 species